rnacentral:rRNA from 1 species
UACGUAGGGUGCAAGCGUUGUCCGGAAUUAUUGGGCGUAAAGAGCUCGUAGGCGGUUUGUCGCGUCUGCUGUGAAAACUCGGGGCUUAACUCCGGGCCUGCAGUGGGUACGGGCAGACUAGAGUGCGGCAGGGGAGACUGGAAUUCCUGGUGUAGCGGUGAAAUGCGCAGAUAUCAGGAGGAACACCGGUGGCGAAGGCGGGUCUCUGGGCAGUAACUGACGCUGAGGAGCGAAUGCGUGGGGAGCGAACAGG